rnacentral:rRNA from 1 species
GAUGAACGCUGGCGGCGUGCCUAAUACAUGCAAGUCGAGCGAACGGACGAGAAGCUUGCUUCUCUGAUGUUAGCGGCGGACGGGUGAGUAGCACGUGGAUAACCUACCUAUAAGACUGGGAUAACUUCGGGAAACCGUAGCUAAUACCGGAUAAUAUUUUGAACCGCAUGGUUCAAAAGUGAAAGACGGCCUUGCUGUCACUUAUAGAUGGAUCCGCGCUGCAUUAGCUAGUUGGUAAGGUAACGGCUUACCAAGGCAACGAUGCAUAGCCGACCUGAGAGGGUGAUCGGCCACACUGGAACUGAGACACGGUCCAGACUCCUACGGGAGGCAGCAGUAGGGAAUCUUCCGCAAUGGGCGAAAGCCUGACGGAGCAACGCCGCGUGAGUGAUGAAGGUCUUCGGAUCGUAAAACUCUGUUAUUAGGGAAGAACAUAUGUGUAAGUAACUGUGCACAUCUUGACGGUACCUAAUCAGAAAGCCACGGCUAACUACGUG